rnacentral:rRNA from 1 species
AACGCGAAGAACCUUACCAACCCUUGACAUCCUGUGCUACAUCCAGAGAUGGAUGGUUCCCUUCGGGGACGCAGUGACAGGUGCUGCAUGGCUGUCGUCAGCUCGUGUCGUGAGAUGUUCGGUUAAGUCCGGCAACGAGCGCAACCCACAUCCCUAGUUGCCAGCAGUUCGGCUGGGCACUCUAUGGAAACUGCCCGUGAUAAGCGGGAGGAAGGUGUGGAUGACGUCAAGUCCUCAUGGCCCUUACGGGUUGGGCUACACACGUGCUACAAUGGUAGUGACAAUGGGUUAAUCCCAAAAAGCUAUCUCAGUUCGGAUUGUCGUCUGCAACUCGACGGCAUGAAGUCGGAAUCGCUAGUAAUCGCUGGUCAGCCAUACAGCGGUGAAUCCGUUCCCGGGCCUUGUACACACCG